GAUGAACGCUGGCGGCAUGCCUAAGACAUGCAAGUCGUACGAAGCGGCCCACUGAAGUCUGAGUGCUUGCACAAAGAUGGACGUGGAUUACCGCUUAGUGGCAAACGGGUGAGUAACACGUGGGUUACCUGCCUCUAAGUUGGGGAUAACAGUUGGAAACGACUGGUAAUACCGAAUGUGCUCUACGGAGUAAAGAAGCCCUUAAAGCUUCGCUUAGAGAUGGGCCUGCGGCGCAUUAGCUAGUUGGUGAGGUAAUGGCCCACCAAGGCAACGAUGCGUAGCCGAACUGAGAGGUUGAUCGGCCACAUUGGGAACUGAGACA
rnacentral:rRNA from 1 species